CUGACUCGACCACACAAAAGCUCUUCCUCUGCCAGUCACUCAGUCAGUUAGACUCUGAGAGAGUUUGUGCAGCAUCAGCCUCUGAAAGAACAACACCACGACUGAAAUCAGCCAUGCAUCCUAUAUUGAUCGGCAUAGUGACAGCCAACACAAGUUUAACUAUUGUCUACUGGAACUUUCUUCUGUCUCAGGUUUUUGGCAAGAAGAUCAGAGAUGGAGAACCACCUGAGGAAAUUCCCGUCUGAGUUGAGGCUCUGGUCAUGACCCUGGUGAUGAAGAGAAAGAAGAAAAAACCACCAAAGACCAUUUUAGGAAAGGAAGUAGGGAUGAGGGAGAGAAAAUAAGAACAAAGAAGGAACAGACUGCCAUUUGACCCAGACGUGGACGGAUAGAAAUUCUUCUAGGAUUCAAAUCUUCUGUAUUUAAAAAGUCAUGAGGUUAAAAAGGUGUCAGUGAAUAGAUUUAUGAACAACCCUCUCUCUUUCAUCCAUUAGUCCACCUCCACAAGCCCCAAAUCUCCCAUUCAAUCAGUAACCCCCCCCCCCCCCCCCCCCACACACACACCCAAAAGAUCUUUCUUUGUCAGUGCUGCUCAUUUGCACCUGUUCUAAGUUACCAAAAAUCAUAGCUUAUGUAUCUGAAGUCUGUAGGCAGAUGUUUUUUUUUUCACUAUAUUUAGCAAAAUAGCUAACGUUACACAGGUUGUGUGAAAUUCUAUCUGUCUUACUCUCCUACAUGUGUCUCUUUCCCUCAAUAAUAAAUUAAUAUGUAGAGCA